GAGCACAUUCCACACUGGGGAAGGCAUCACAGCCUUCCCAUACAACAGGAGGCUGCUUAUAAAGGUAGGGCCUGAAUCAUUAAAUCCAUUGAUAUCUGGAGACAUUGCUAGAGAUGAGCUGGGUUUUUACUGCUUUCUGUUUCUCAGUUUAUUGGGAUAGAGCCCAGCCUGCUAAAUAUUUACUAUCUGCCAAGCUGGGAUGCUGAAUGCUGGAAGCAGCUGAAGAAUCCAGGCUGGUCCCUCACGCAUCCCAUUCCCUGAGCACACUCUGACACACGUGUCCAUCUUUCCUUUCCAUCACUAGCAAAAGGACAAACGAGCCCUGUGUUUGUGCUGUGGGAGGAGGCUGUGUGUUAUCUGCGAUGAUUCACCCUGAUAAAUAACCUCCUCGGAGGCCUGCUCUUGUUUAUAGCAACAGCCCCAAAUGCUGAAGAUGACAGAGAUUUCCAUGCGUGCUCUUCUCAUGCAUAUUUACCCAGCAGUUUUAUCAGAACCAUCUCAAGCAAACCUCAGUGUUUUUAUGAUUAAUUGGCUAAUGGUAAAAAUAAAGGCAUUUGGAGAGGUGCCCAGUGAGCUGCUGAGCAGUGUGUAAUAUAGCAACCGGAGCUGGAGUCUCAGGGGAUUGUUUCUGGGAAAAUCCACAUUGGUUUAAAGGGACAGUGCUCCUUCUGCUCCCAGAGCGGGUGAGUUACUCUGAGCCCCACAGCGCAGGGCAUCCCCAUCUAUCCACCAUCCCCUUGGCUUUAUAUUACUUUCCAGUCCCUCCACUGAGGAGCUGUGUGUGGAUGUGAACAGGGCACUGACAUAUAGAUUCUCCUUACCCCAGGCUCAAAUGCUGUUGAUUUCUCCUCUGCCUCAGCCCUGCUGUUCCCACCUCACCUCUGCUCCGUGAACCUCAGCUCCGUGCUCUCCCUGACCUAAGCCUUUCCUGAUGCUGCUCUCCAGUUGCUGCCACCACUUCCUCAGUUUUUGCUGGCUCAGGGCAUUGUUUUAUCAGGCUGGGAUAGUUUUAUCAGUCUGGGCUCUGCAGUUAAGCCUGAGCCUCACCUCUGCUGUCAUUGGAGAAGUGUGUCACACCGGCCAGGAGCUGGGAUCUCUGCUCUGCUCAGCUUGUGGCUGUGAGUGUGCAGGUCCAGAGGUGGUUUUCCUUGCCUACUCUCUUUUGAGGCUUGAGAUAAAGCAGCAGGAGUAGAAAUAAGGCAAGAGGAAUUCAAAAGGGACAAAACACAGUGAGGUGAAGCGAGAUGGAUUCCGUAAUGCACUUGGUGAGCCAUCAAAUCCUCUCUCUUAUCCCAGGGGAAUCCCAGAUGCACGAGCAAAUCAUCAAGCCCUGCAAACUACAUCAUCAGCAUCUUCCUCUGGAAAACAUCAUCAUGUUAAUCCAUUUGUCCUGGCAGCCAGAUGAUUGAGGUUUGAAAACUAAAUGACACACGUUUGCUGCAACAGCAUAAACGCAAUAAUGGCUCUCCUCCAUUACACUUGUAACCUGGUUAUAAUGGCUUUAAUGAGCUUUCAGCCUUGUCAGCCAAAAAGAAAGAUUAUCACAUGUUGCUUUAUAUUAUAAAGUGUCCUUUGUGCUGCUGGUGGCUGAGUACCUGCAGUCAUUCACUGCAUGAGGUGCCUGUGGUGGGUGGGUGCCUAUCCCAAAGCUGGGGGGCUCCCAAAACGGGGCAGGACAUGGCAGUGGUGUGAGCCCUGUAGGCUGCUGGACACCCUGUGAGGGGAACAGGUACCUGUUCCCAUUACACAGGAUUAUCCUACGGUGUGGAGUUACUCCAACCAUGUGUCUUCCCAGCUUAACUUAAUAACAGGCUGCGAGCUCUACUUUGAUGUGCUCCUGUUUUUCACUAGUUCCAUAUUUAACUGAACUCAUCAUCAGAAACUGGAACUGUUUCACUUUCAGUGCCAGGCUGGGCUUCCUGUUGGACUGGCAAAGGACACACCUGCACGACCACACGUGCUGACAGUACCUGCUGGCAAUAACCUCUUAGAUGGCAACAGGAAAAAGACAGAAAACCCCCAGAAGAUUGCUUUGCCAAAACAGGCUUGACAAACUUUAAAGACAUGCUGGAGGAGGUGGAGGUAAUUUGGGUGAGCAUUAGGUGAUUUCAUCCUGUCCCUUGGCAGGGAUCUACUCCAGGACUGUGAUGUAGCUAUGGCAUCAUGCUGCACCUGUGGGAUGCUCAGCUGUUUAUGUGUGGUUUUCUUAAAUAAAGUUAAAACCUGUCCCUUUGCUUAUAAGUAAAGAAUUUUUUGUUUUUUUUUUUUUUUUUCCUGUGCCUGCCCAUUCAGUUCUGUAAUGAACUCAUCCCAAAGAGAGACAUGGGAUCCCCACAUCUCAGUGUCCUCUGCCUGUGUUUUCAGAAGCAGAGGGACCCAGUUUGUGUUCCUGGGCAUAGAACCACAAACUGGUUUGGGUUGGAAGGGACCUUGAAGCUCAUCCAGUUCCAAUCCCUUGCCAUGGGCAGGGGCACCUUCGACUAGAGCAGGUUUCUAUGGGUACCUGUGUUCCCCAUCACUGGGCUUUGCCCGUUGAACUUCUCCCUCUCCAUGCUCUCAGUCCUGAAGGGAUUCAUCAGUGAGAGGAAGAAGCAGGAUCACAACAGGUCUGGAGGACCAGGGUCAUUUCAUCCUGCCAGGGACAUCGAAGGGCUUUGCUGCGGCUCAGGAUCCCCUGAGGCCCCCUUGCCCCGUUGCACAGUGCCAUCUCCUGGAGAGCCGUGCCUAAGCUGCACGCAGAUCUGAUGCUGAAGCAGCAAGUGGUGCUGCCAGCUAGAGGUGCUGCCUCAGCCACAGGAGUUAUCUCCGACACACCGAGAGUAGAUUCCUCACCGAACCUCUCUUCCUCCAGCAGGUACAAAGGAAGCUGUUCGUUGCCUGGCUGCUUGCUCUCACCUCCGGGGUAC